rnacentral:rRNA from 1 species
GGCGAACGGGUGAGUAACACGUGGGCAAUCUGCCCUUCACUCUGGGACAAGCCCUGGAAACGGGGUCUAAUACCGGAUAACACUCUGUCCCGCAUGGGACGGGGUUAAAAGCUCCGGCGGUGAAGGAUGAGCCCGCGGCCUAUCAGCUUGUUGGUGGGGUAAUGGCCUACCAAGGCGACGACGGGUAGCCGGCCUGAGAGGGCGACCGGCCACACUGGGACUGAAACACGGCCCAGACUCCUACGGGAGGCAGCAGUGGGGAAUAUUGCACAAUGGGCGAAAGCCUGAUGCAGCGACGCCGCGUGAGGGAUGACGGCCUUCGGGUUGUAAACCUCUUUCAGCAGGGAAGAAGCGAAAGUGACGGUACCUGCAGAAGAAGCGCCGGCUAACUACGUGCCAGCAGCCGCGGUAAUACGUAGGGCGCAAGCGUUGUCCGGAAUUAUUGGGCGUAAAGAGCUCGUAGGCGGCUUGUCACGUCGGAUGUGAAAGCCCGGGGCUUAACCCCGGGUCUGCAUUCGAUACGGGCUAGCUAGAGUGUGGUAGGGGAGAUCGGAAUUCCUGGUGUAGCGGUGAAAUGCGCAGAUAUCAGGAGGAACACCGGUGGCGAAGGCGGAUCUCUGGGCCAUUACUGACGCUGAGGAGCGAAAGCGUGGGGAGCGAACAGGAUUAGAUACCCUGGUAGUCCACGCCGUAAACGUUGGGAACUAGGUGUUGGCGACAUUCCACGUCGUCGGUGCCGCAGCUAACGCAUUAAGUUCCCCGCCUGGGGAGUACGGCCGCAAGGCUAAAACUCAAAGGAAUUGACGGGGGCCCGCACAAGCAGCGGAGCAUGUGGCUUAAUUCGACGCAACGCGAAGAACCUUACCAAGGCUUGACAUAUACCGGAAAGCAUCAGAGAUGGUGCCCCCCUUGUGGUCGGUAUACAGGUGGUGCAUGGCUGUCGUCAGCUCGUGUCGUGAGAUGUUGGGUUAAGUCCCGCAACGAGCGCAACCCUUGUUCUGUGUUGCCAGCAUGCCCUUCGGGGUGAUGGGGACUCACAGGAGACUGCCGGGGUCAACUCGGAGGAAGGUGGGGACGACGUCAAGUCAUCAUGCCCCUUAUGUCUUGGGCUGCACACGUGCUACAAUGGCCGGUACAAUGAGCUGCGAUGCCGCGAGGCGGAGCGAAUCUCAAAAAGCCGGUCUCAGUUCGGAUUGGGGUCUGCAACUCGACCCCAUGAAGUCGGAGUUGCUAGUAAUCGCAGAUCAGCAUUGCUGCGGUGAAUACGUUCCCGGGCCUUGUACACACCGCCCGUCACGUCACG